AGGGCGAACGCUGGCGGCAGGCCUAACACAUGCAAGUCGAGCGCCCGUAGCAAUACGGGAGCGGCAGACGGGAUAGUAACACGUGGGAACGCGCCCUUCGGUUCGGAAUAACUCAGGGAAACUUGAGCUAAUACCGGAUACGCCCUUACGGGGAAAGAUUUAUUGCCGAAGGAACGGCCCGCGUCCGAUUAGCUAGUUGGUGAGGUAAUGGCUCACCAAGGCGACGAUCGGUAGCUGGUCUGAGAGGAUGACCAGCAUCACUGGGACUGAGACACGGCCCAGACUCCUACGGGAGGCAGCAGUGGGGAAUAUUGGACAAUGGGCGCAAGCCUGAUCCAGCCAUGCCGCGUGGAUGAUGAAGGCCUUAGGGUUGUAAAGUCCUUUUAACGGGGAAGAUAAUGACGGUACCGUAGAAUAAGCCCGGCUAACUCGUGCCAGCAGCCGC
rnacentral:rRNA from 1 species